rnacentral:tRNA from 2 species
GGAGGAGUGGCAGAGCGGUUGAUUGCACCUGUCUUGAAAACAGACGUACGUGAGAGCGUACCGGGGGUUCGAAUCCCUCCUCCUCCG